GUCCACGCCCUGCCCCAGCGUGAAGCACGGGGGUGGGGGGCAGGGAGCCAAGUCCUCUGUGUCCUCCUGACACCUCCUCAUCCCCAGGUCCACGCCCUGCCCCAGUGUGAAGCACGGGGAUGAGUGGGGGGAACCCUCACGCUGCGAUGGCGGCGACGGCUGCCAGUAUUGCCACUCCCGCACGGAGCAGCAGUUCCAUCCCGAGAUCUACAAAUCUACAAAAUGCAACGAC
rnacentral:lncRNA from 1 species